GCCGCCCAGCCAGUAGGGUGGAUAUGUCCCUCGGCUUGUAACCGAGUGGGCUCGGGUUCGAAUCCCGAAUAAGGCA
rnacentral:tRNA from 1 species